UGGAAUCUCACCAGAAGCAGCAUAUGGAAUCCUCUUUGAAGAUACCUUUUUGCCAAUUGUUUCUAUCUGAAGAGGAAAAAAAAAUGAGAACUAUUAAUUACAACACAUGAAUGUACUCAAGGGAAGACCACAGGGCACCGGCUCAGCGAGGAAUAGUAAUGAACACAACAAUGAUGCUGUAUGAUAAGCACAGUGCAUCUUGCAGAACACACUCUUUCCUACUUGACUGUCACAAUAUGGGUAAGGUAGGGCACAUUCUGUCUCUUACGACAGCAAACUGAUAACUGACACCCACCUCUGUGUGUCAGGUAAGGGAGACCACACUGAACUGUGCAUCACAAACUUAGGAGGGAGUAGAAUCGUUUAAAAAUCACAGACACUUCCCAGAGAGCUGACCUCUUGUCUCAGAGUGACCUCAUCACUGAGAAUACGAGGAUUUUGAAACCCACACAAUGGCCUUGAAAAAAAAAACGACCCAAGAGAGAGUCCAGAAUCCUGAGCACCUGGAAGCCGAUGGUCUGCAGUUCACUGUGGAGCCCGUCCAGGACACGUCGCCCAUCAAAGAUAAAGGCUGGCUUGAGCAUCUUUUUAUGAAUGCGUUCGUAGUCCAGCUCCU